UUAUUGUAUAAUUUUUUGAAAAUAUUGAUUUCUGAAUUGCAAAUGCUGAAUGUAAAGUACUUUGAUAAAUCCUAUUUUAAUUGAGUUUCAAUCCAAGUGUGACCUUUUAGUGACUGAUCUUACUGGACAUUUGAUUGGAAUUUUUUUUUUCAUCUUACUUAAACAAAUUACUUUUUUUUCUCCUCUUCUUAGAAUCAACGAAUCCCAUCUGACAUGGUGUUUCUCAGAACAUCGGAAAAAACUGCCCAAAGCUUUUGGAUCCAGCAUGAUUUAAAAGAGAUUGAUUCAUAUCUCCUCUUGGGCUACUUGGAGUGUCAUCUUUUUUCGACUUAUCCAACAGUGAUUUCAACAGGAAUCCUACCUGCUUAAAAAAGUAGGAGGAUCUAUACCCCUGUAGAAGGUUUACCUUAAAUUAGGUCACUUGCAUGCAGUACUUAAGGGGGUAAAAGGUCAAAGUGCUUUGAUCUCCUAAUCUUUACUAGCUAUAUUGGAUUGUAGGAUUGCAUAUCCAGACACUUGGAAGAAAUUAUAGUCCACUCUACCAGGAGUGUGUAUCAAUGGUAAUUUCUUUGAAUGAUGUGCCUUGUAGUAGAAAUGCCUAGGGAACUCAAUAUGUAACAUUGCAUCAUGUUUGCUGCUGUAGAAAUAUCAGGAGCUAUUUAUAUGCAGAGAGCUGUCCUUAAUUAGGAUCCUUGCAGCAAUUUACAUCAGAUGCAUUGUUACUGCUGGAGUAAAUGAACAAGAUGAAACAGUUGUUAACCUUGCAAAAGCAUAAGUUCCUCAAUGUUGUGUUUUAUAUAUCUACUCUAUGGCAUGCUUUCCUCCCUGUUAAUUCUUAAAUUUCUGGAUUCUGUAAGAAAGCAUGUAAGAAACUGCAAUCUUCUUUCCCCUCAACACUGGUAGCUGAAGGAGGGGGAACAGAUUGGAGUGUCUUUGGAGGGAAAUCUCUAUAUCAAGUUUCUUAUAUGCUUUCCUAUAUCAAAAAUGUGUAAAGAAAAGCAUUUUUUGAAAGUAAAAUAGUUUAAGUCCAUUUCAGAGGUCAGUUUUUUAGAAUGUUAUAAUCAAAAUUUUUCUUUAAGAGAGUCCAGAGCAGUAAUCUAAUGUCUAGAAAAUAAAACGACUUAUAAAGUUAUCA
rnacentral:lncRNA from 1 species